GACGAACGCUGGCGGCGUGCUUAACACAUGCCAGUCGAACGGAAAGGCCCUGCUUGCAGGGUACUCGAGUGGCGAACGGGUGAGUAACACGUGGGUGAUCUGCCCUGCACUUCGGGAUAAGCCUGGGAAACUGGGUCUAAUACCGGAUAGAAGCCAUUUUUAGUGUGAUGGUUGGAAAGUUUUUUCGGUGUAGGAUGAGCUCGCGGCCUAUCAGCUUGUUGGUGGGGUAAUGGCCUACCAAGGCGGCGACGGGUAGCCGGCCUGCGAGGGUGGACGGCCACAUGGGGACUGGGAUGCGGCCACGAAUCAUACGGGGGGAAAAGGGGGGGAAUUUUGCAAAAUGGGGGCAGGCCUGAUGCAGCGGCGCCGGGUGGGGGAUGACGGCCUUCGGGGUGUAAACUCCUUUCGCUAGGGACGAAGCUUUUUGUGACGGUACCUAGAUAAGAAGCACCGGCUAACUACGU
rnacentral:rRNA from 1 species